CAUGGGGGAAACCUGAUGCAUCAAUGCCGCGUGAGUGAAGAGGCCUUUGGGUUGUAAAGCUCUUUCGGUUGGAAAGAAGGGUGCAUGGCUAAUAUCCAUGUAGUUUGACGGUACCAAAAGAAGAAGCACCUGCUAACUUCGUGCCAGCAGCAGCGGUAAUACGAAGGGUGCAAGCGUUGUUCGGAAUUACUGGGCGUAAAGGGCGCGUAGGCGGGUUUGUAAGUCGAAUGUGAAAUCCCCGGGCUUAACCUGGGACGUGCAUUCGAUACUGCUAAUCUUGAAUGCUUGAGAGGGUGGUGGAAUUCCUAGUGUAGAAGUGAAAUUCGUAGAUAUUAGGAGGAACACCUGAGGCGAAGGCGGCCACCUGGCAAGACAUUGACGCUAAGGCGCGAAAGUGCGGGGAGCAAACAGGAUUAGAUACCCUGGUAGUCCGCACCAUAAACGAUGGAUACUAGAUGUUUGGAGAAUUAACCCUCUGAGUAUCAAAGUUCACACAUUAAGUAUCCCGCCUGGGGAGUACGGCCGCAAGGCUGAAACUCAAAGGAAUUGACGGGGGCCCGCACAAGCGGUGGAGUAUGUGGUUUAAUUCGAAGCAACGCGCAGAACCUUACCUGNGUUUGACAUCCUACGAAUACUGCAGAGAUGUAGUAGUCCCGCAGGGACGUAGAG
rnacentral:rRNA from 1 species